rnacentral:rRNA from 1 species
UACGUAGGGUGCAAGCGUUGUCCGGAAUUAUUGGGCGUAAAGAGCUCGUAGGCGGUUUGUCGCGUCUGCUGUGAAAACCUAAGGCUCAACCUUGGGCUUGCAGUGGGUACGGGCAGACUAGAGUGCGGUAGGGGGUGACUGGAAUUCCUGGUGUAGCGGUGGAAUGCGCAGAUAUCAGGAGGAACACCGAGUGGCGAAGGCAGGUCACUGGGCCGCA